rnacentral:rRNA from 1 species
GAUGAACGCUGGCUACAGGCUUAACACAUGCAAGUCGAGGGGAAACGCCGGGGAAGCCUGCUUCCCCGGGCGUCGACCGGCGCACGGGUGAGUAACGCGUAUCCAACCUGCCUCUGACUGAGGGAUAACCCGUCGAAAGUCGGCCUAAUACCUCAUGGUAUCGUCUGCGGGCAUCCAACGACGAUUAAAGAUUUCUUCGGUCAGGGAUGGGGAUGCGUCUGAUUAGCUUGUUGGCGGGGUAACGGCCCACCAAGGCUACGAUCAGUAGGGGUUCUGAGGGGAAGGUACCCCACAUGGGAACUGAGACACGGUCCAAACUCCUACGGGAGGCAGCAGUGAGGAAUAUUGGUCAAUGGGAGAGAGCCUGAACCAGCCAAGUAGCGUGCAGGAAGACGGCCCUAUGGGUUGUAAACUGCUUUUAUGCGGGGAUAAAGUGAGGGACGGGUCCCUCAUUGCAGGUACCGAAUGAAUAAGGACCGGCUAAUUCCGUG